CAGUGUGAUCUGUUUAGCAUGGAACCAGUAACUUUGAACUGCAUUUCACCACCAGGCCAAGGCCCAAACACACAUGAGGGGGAACAGAACAACCUGCAACACUUUAUCCCAUAGUGAAAGUACAGUCAAAAUAUGAGAGAUCCUUAGACCAGAGAGAAAACAAGCUGAAAAGAAAAAGGAAAGAGACAGCUGAAAAGGAAAAUUCACCAGCAUCAGUGGCUGAUGGAUGGAUGAAGCCCUGCCUGGGCAACUUUUCUGACAAUGCUGUAGUCAAAGCUACAAGGACAUCUCCUCCAGAACUGCCAACAAACCAGGAAUCUGCUUUGAGACCUUUAACAAUGCAAAACAGCACAAGAGUGCAGCUGAAGCAUCCAGGCAGUCCAAACCUCAUAUACGUCCAA